rnacentral:rRNA from 2 species
UCGUAGGGUAACCUGCGGAAGGAUCAUUG